GAAAUGAUGAAUUUAAUAUAAGAUAAGGAGAUGGUGUAUGAUAUCCAAUGAGCUAAUUAUCUAACAGAGUCCAAAUGAAGCGGAUUUAAGCAACUUAAGGUGAUAUUAAUACACAUACUUUGACCAUGAGAAAACUCUAUACCGUCUAGUCAGCUGUUAUAGGCUUCGACAUGUCAGAAUGUGAAACAGUCCAAACGAAAAAUAAAC
rnacentral:lncRNA from 1 species